UGGAAUGCGAUGAUUAGGAGAAGUAUUUAAAUCUCAUGGUUUAGCGAGUCGAGGAUGGUGGAAGCUCGAUACAGCAGAAUUUAAAGAAGACACCUAGGAGUAGAUUUUCUGAAGGUUGUAGGAAAAUCCGUGAAUCUGCGUUAAAGAUAAAGUGGGAUAUAAUCCAACUAGGGUGGUACCGCGGGAAAUGAACCUCUCGUCCCUUAA
rnacentral:ncRNA from 1 species